UGAGAAUCCCGUACGUGGCAGCCUGCCCUUGCCGUGUAAAGCCCCUUCGACGAGUCGAGUUGUUUGGGAAUGCAGCUCAAAAUGGGAGGUAAAUUUCUUCUAAAGCUAAGUACUGGCCAGAGACCGAUAGCGCACAAGUAGAGUGAUCGAAAGAUGAAAAGCACUUUGGAAAGAGAGUCAAAUAGCACGUGAAAUUGUUGAAAGGGAAGCGCUUGCUGCCAGACUUGUCUGCAGUUGCUCAUCUGGGCUCUUGCCCGGUGCACUCUUCUGUAGUCAGGCCAGCAUCAGUUUGGGCGGUUGGAUAAAGGCCUCUGUCACGUACCACCCUUCGGGGUGGCCUUAUAGGGGAGGCGUAAUGCAACCAGCCUGGACUGAGGUCCGCGCAUCUGCUAGGAUGCUGGCGUAAUGGCAGUAAGCGGCCCGUCUUGAAACACGGACCAAGGAGUCUAACAUCUAUGCGAGUGUUUGGGUGUCAAGCCCGGGCGCGUAAUGAAAGUGAACGGAGGUGGGAACCCUUUGGGUGCACCAUCGACCGAUCCUGAUGUCUUCGGAUGGAUUUGAGUAAGAGCAUAGCUGUUGGGACCCGAAAGAUGGUGAACUAUGCUUGAAUAGGGUGAAGUCAGAGGAAACUCUGAUGGAGGCUCCGCAGCGGUUCUGACGUGCAAAUCGAUCGUCAAAUUUGG
rnacentral:rRNA from 1 species